rnacentral:rRNA from 1 species
GGCCAGACUCCUACGGGAGGCAGCAGUGGGGAAUAUUGCACAAUGGGGGAAACCCUGAUGCAGCGACGCCGCGUGAGCGAUGAAGUAUUUCGGUAUGUAAAGCUCUAUCAGCAGGGAAGAAGAUGACGGUACCUGACUAAGAAGCCCCGGCUAACUACGUGCCAGCAGCCGCGGUAAUACGUAGGGGGCAAGCGUUAUCCGGAUUUACUGGGUGUAAAGGGAGCGUAGACGGCAUGGCAAGUCAGAUGUGAAAGCCCGGGGCUCAACCCCGGGACUGCAUUUGAAACUGUCAGGCUGGAGUGCAGGAGAGGUAAGUGGAAUUCCUAGUGUAGCGGUGAAAUGCGUAGAUAUUAGGAGGAACACCAGUGGCGAAGGCGGCUUACUGGACUGUAACUGACGUUGAGGCUCGAAAGCGUGGGGAGCAAACAGGAUUAGAUACCCCGGUAC